UGGCCAGGGUGGGCCACGUCUUUAAUUAUCUUGGCUGCUUUUCUGGGGCAGUGUGAAGUGUAGUGUCUGAAGAAGGGU